rnacentral:tRNA from 1 species
GCCGGGUUGGCGAAACUGGUACACGCGACGGUCUCAAAAUCCGUUUUUCUACAGGUUCGAGUCCUGUAUCCGGCACCA